GGCCAAGUCAUGUUGAAACAUCAGUUCUUGUUUGAUCACCAAAGUUAAGCAGUAUUGAGUGCAGUCAGUAAUUAGAUGGGGGACUGCCUGGGAACAUCGGGUACUGUA